AUGGUUCAUCGCCUUCUUCGAGAGCAUAUUGAUCAAGAAGUGGACUAUAAGGUGAUUGUUUUCUGCACAGCAGCCAUGGUGACUGAAUUUAUGUAUAUAAUGCUUCGAGAUCUGAAACUAAACGUCAUAGAGAUAAAUUUAGGAAAGCCUCAGCUUUAUAGGACACGUGUAUCUGAAGAGUUACGGGAUUCCAAUCGCCUGAUUCUGGUAACAUCAGAUGUUUCAACACGUGGAGUGAAUUAUCCAGAUGUUACCCCGCCCAUUGGGAAGAUCCUAUGUCACAGCCAUCGGCCUUGUGUCUGGAGCCCCUUGCAGGUGUACUACCGGCACAAAGUGUCCAGCGCGGGCAGCACAAGGAAUUUGGUUUGGGCCCUCGUCUGUAGGUCAUGA
rnacentral:rRNA from 1 species